rnacentral:rRNA from 1 species
AACGCUGGCGGCGUGCUUAACACAUGCAAGUCGAACGGAGUGUACUUUAUUGAGGAUUCGUCUGAUUUAGCUGUACACUUAGUGGCGGACGGGUGAGUAACGCGUGGGUAACCUGCUCAUACAGGGGGAUAGCAGCUGGAAACGGCUGAUAAAACCGCAUAAGCGCACACUACCGCAUGGUAGAGUGUGAAAAACUCCGGUGGUAUGAGAUGGACCCGCGUCUGAUUAGCUUGUUGGUGAGGUAACGGCCCACCAAGGCGACCGAUCAGUAGCCGGCCUGAGAGGGUGAACGGCCACAUUGGGACUGAGACACGGCCCAAACUCCUACGGGAGGCAGCAGUGGGGAAUAUUGCACAAUGGGGGAAACCCUGAUGCAAGCGACGCCGCGUGAAGGACGACGUAUUUCGGUAUGUAAACUUCUAUCAGCAGGGAAGAACAAGUGACGGUACCUGACUAAGAAGCCCCGGCUAACUACGUGCCAGCAGCUGC